rnacentral:rRNA from 1 species
AAAGAAAAUAACAAUGAUUCCCUCAGUAACGGCGAGCGAAGAGGGAUAAGCUCAAAUUUUAAAUCUGUUGGGCUCCGCUUAACAGAGUUGUAUUUUGAAGAAACGUUUUCUGCAUCCAGGAUUAGCCUAAAUCCUUUGGGAUAAGGUAUCAUGGAGGGUGAGAAUCCCGUUCAUGGUUAAUCUUAAGGAAGCUCUACGAUACGCUUUCCAAGAGUCGAGUUGUUUGGGAUUGCAGCUCAAAAUGGGAGGUAAAUUUCUCCUAAGGCUAAAUAUUGGCGAGAGACCGAUAGCGAACAAGUACCGUGAGGGAAAGAUGAAAAGAACUUUGAAAAGAGAGUUAAACAGUACGUGAAAUUGUUGAAAGGGAAACGAUUGAAG